UACGUAGGCAGCGAGCGUUGUUCGGAGUUACUGGGCGUAAAGGGUGUGUAGGCGGUUGUUUAAGUUUGGUGUGAAAUCUCCCGGCUCAACUGGGAGGGUGCGCCGAAUACUGAAUGACUAGAGUGCGGGAGAGGAAAGUGGAAUUCCUGGUGUAGCGGUGAAAUGCGUAGAUAUCAGGAGGAACACCGGUGGUGUAGACGGCUUUCUGGACCGUAACUGACGCUGAGAAGCGAAAGCAUGGGGAGCAAACAGG
rnacentral:rRNA from 1 species